UACCCAAGAAGCCGACUACUCUUCCCGAGGUGGCGAAGCAGCGUGAGCUAAGUGGAAUACUAGAAAGCGAGGAUGCAAAGUUGAAGAAGCAACUCUCCGAGGCAAAGUGCAAGGACCUCUGUGGACAUGACAUCUUUGCACCUCCACCUGAAAUUUUACCGAGGCCAACAACAGUACGUGCAUUGGCACUGAAGGACAAUUUUGACAUGGGAGAACCUAAUACACGUAAUCCUGCUGGAAGUAGCAUGUCAAAGUGAGGAGGCUGCAGUUAAGACGGCAAAGAAAAUUCAUAAUCAGAAAUUUGCUGAGCUCUCAGGAAAUGGUAUAUUUAAGGGUGAUGACCCUCGGGGUUCUGCCGAGAAGCCACUCAGUGCCGCGAAAUUAUGGGAGAUGAGUGGCAGUAACAUCUUUGCCGAUGGGAAGGUGGAGUCUCGAGACUACUACGGUGGCAUACGCAAACUCCCGAGCGGUGAAAGCAGCAUUGCUCUGGUUUAGCUUCUUGUUAGCUCUCCAACUCUCUUAUAUUACUUCUGCUGUGUCUGGUGUUCAUCUAUAGUGGGGUGUGAUUAUAUUAUAUGACUUUUCCAUUGUGGGUUUUGGGAUUAUGUUUUAGGGUUAGCAGGUCAACAUGAGCUGUGGACAUAUGCUAAUUGCUCUCUUGUCC